UAGGGUUCGAUUCCGGAGAAGGAGCCUGAGAAACGGCUACUACAUCUACGGAAGGCAGCAGGCGCGUAAAUUACCCAAUCCUGACUCAGGGAGGUGGUGACAAGAUAUAACGACGCAAUUUAUUUUGUGAUUGUAGUGAGGGUAUUCCAAACCGAACCACUAGUACGAUUAGAGGGCAAGUCUGGUGCCAGCAGCCGCGGUAAUUCCAGCUCUAAUAGCGUAUAUUAAAGUUGUUGCAGUUAAAAAGCUCGUAGUUGGAUUUCAAGGCGUGUAUACUCUUUUUGAGUAUGCUACCUACUAGUCUCUGACUGUUACUGUGAGAAAAUUAGAGUGUUUCAAGCAGGCUUUUGCAAGAAUACAUUAGCAUGGAAUAACGAAUGUGUCUAGAAUCUUGGUUAAUUCUAGAUUGCGAUUAAUAGGGACAGUUGGGGGCAUUAGUAUUUAAUUGUCAGAGGUGAAAUUCUUGGAUUUGUUAAAGACUA
rnacentral:rRNA from 1 species